GCCCGAAGGAGGACCGGUAGAGCCGCUGCACCUGGAGGUCCCCUCUGCUAGUAGGUUCGGUUUUUUUGUUAUUUUCUAGCCAACCGAGGCCCCUAACAUGUUUUCCCAUAAGGAUACAGCUAAAACCGGCCAAAACCAGCUAGGUCGAGGCGAACUGCCACUGUGGGCAACAGAGCCAGCGCUAGAGCACGGCGACGACGUCGUGCCAAAACCUUAAAAUUGGCCGAAAUGAGUUUUGGACACUAAUUUUAGAUUUUUUGAGG
rnacentral:lncRNA from 1 species